UAUUUGGCAGGGGAGGGAAAGACAGUAACUCAGUCUGACAACAGCUUUAUUGGAAAAUUGCUCAAUAAAUUAAAAACAAAAUGCUGCUAUUCAUGCAGGGCAUCAUUCAAAACAACAAAACAAUGCUUUAACAAACAGAGGUAUCAUUUGGCUUCAGAUGGUAAUACGUUGAUUCAUUGUACAUAACAACAAAUCUAAAAGGCUGCUCAUAUAACAUACAAAUGUGGCUUAACACAAGAGAUACAAUGAACAACAAUAACAGAGUAACUGUUUAUUGUUUUACUUUACAAUAAAGGAAAAUGUUGAAAAAGCUGAGAAAGAAUCCGUGGAGAGAAAAACCGAGUUGAUGUUUCAGUUCAAUGACAUUUCCCAGCUCUGAUGAAAGGUUACCCAACUCUAGACUUUAGAGACACAGCACAAAAUCGAGAACCUGGUGCGACUUGGGUGGGGGAGGGAUAGAGAGAGAGGGAAUGCCGUGGUUACUUGAAAUCAGUUUUUAUACCACUGGGCUGUAAGCUGCCCAAGCAAAAUAUGAGAUGAUGUUCCUCUAAUUUGCAUUUAGCCUCACUCUGACAAUGGAUGAGACCUAGGACAGAAAGGUGGGAACCUUGGACUGUUAGAAGUGAGAGGUUGAAGAUGUCCAUGAAUACUUCUCAGUUGCCCUGCAAAGGUCUUCAGCAUUCAGCCAGAAAAGUAAACCCCGCAGAAGAAAACUCAAAGGUACACAAAAAAGCUGGAGAAACUCAGCGGGUGCAGCAGCAUCUAUGGAGCGAAGGAAAAAGGCAACAUUUCGGGCCAAAAACUCAAAUCAGUCAACUGAUCAUAUUAUUACAUUCAGCACAACAGCCCUGACAAGAAAAUAAGAUGUUUCCUGGAAACAUAGCGGCCAAGUCUGGCAAGGUUGAGGUAGCCUUGCCCAGAUGUUCUUGCCUGUUCAAAUGUUAUUAAAAUGACAUUGUUUUGUAUGGUUAACUGAAGGGAAAAUCCUCUACCAGCUAAAUGGUCAGCACAGAAUUUAAAAAAAAAACCUUCCAAGUAAAUGAAGUCCAUAACAAAAGGAGCAUUGAUAUGUAUUGUGCAAUCCAUUCAUUCAAAAAUCUGACAAACGAUCCCUUGAGCGAUUUGGCCAAAAGAUAAGAAUUUUCUCAUGUCUCAUUUUCUCCCAGUGAUAAAUGGAGGUCGUAUUCCACAGGUGUCAAAUCCCACUAUUUUACAAAGAAAUUUGCUCUUCACACUGGUGCAAAUAACAACACCAAUAGUUCAGUUGAUGACACACCCACCUGCAUUAAAAAAAAAGGCAGGUUCUAGCCCUGCUAUCAAAUAGAAAUGGAUAAACUAUGCAGUGCCGAGGCAAUGCUAAUCUGUUCAAGACGGCUGUUUUCACUUACAUCCCGAUCCCCUAUGUAUGGAUAUACAUCAGAAGAACAACAAUGUUCUCGAUUUUUUCCCCCUCAAUAUUAUCCUUUCAUAGCUCUCCUUACAACCUUGGCUGAACUCUUCCAAACGCAAUGCAUUUAUAGCAUUACUUGAUUUUUGCUGGGGGUUGAUGUAACAUCUUUAGGGAUAGAUAAGUACAUCUCUGUUGCUGAAUGAAAUAUUUCAAAUGUUGCAAAAUAAUAGAACUAAAACCCAACACCAUUCAGUCAGAGGUUUUCUAUGUAUUUAUGCACAGAAUACAAACAUCGCUGACAAGACCAAUAUUUACAACCAUUCCCAAUCGUCUACUGCACUCGGCAGCUUGCUGGGUCAUUUUCAUUAGCAGGUCUGAUUUCUUUGAAAGGUGUUUAUUUUACAAUUGUAGUAGUAUAAUUACUA